AAAAACAUGGCUUUUCGAAUUAAUAUAAAGAAAAGUCCAACCUGCCCGGUGAACAAUUUUAAACGGUUGCGGCUCGAGUCGCGUUACGGUAGCAUAAUAAGUUGUCUUUUAAUUGGGGGAUAGUAUGAAUGGUUUGAUGAUGGGGUAGCUUUAUUAAUAAUAUACAUGUGAAGUUUACUUUUAAGUGAAAAGGCUUAAGUUGUUUUGUUAGACGAUGAGACCCUAUCGAGCUUGAUAAUUCCGCUCAGUAGCUGGGGGGAGUAAGUUUAAUCGGGAUGGAUUGGAAGAGAUAAUAUGUCUUCUUAAUUAUAUGAGGAUCCAACAAGGUUGAGUAGAAGAAGAUAGCUACCGUAGGGAUAACAGCGUGAUCCCCCUUUAUAGGCCUUAUUAAAAGGGGGGUUUACGACCUCGAUG
rnacentral:rRNA from 1 species